AGCAGCCGCGGUAAUUCCAGCUCCAAUAGCGUAUAUUAAAGUUGUUGCAGUUAAAAAGCUCGUAGUUGAAUUUCGGGAUCAGUUGAUCGGUCGUGCCUCGGUACGUACUGGUCAAAUUGAUUCCUACCUUCUGACGAACCACGAUGUCAUUAAUUUGGUGUCGUGGGAAAUCAGGACUGUUACUUUGAAAAAUUAGAGUGUUUAAAGCAGGCUCGCGCUUGAAUACAUUAGCAUGGAAUAAUGAAAUAGGACGUUUGAUUCUAUUUUGUUGGUUUCUAGGAUCGACGUAAUGAUUAAUAGGGAUAGUUGGGGGCAUUAGUAUUCAAUUGUCAGAGGUGAAAUUCUUGGAUUUAUUGAAGACUAACUACUGCGAAAGCAUUUGCCAAGGAUGUUUUCAUUAAUCAAGAACGAAAGUUAGGGGAUCGAAGACGAUCAGAUACCGUCGUAGUC
rnacentral:rRNA from 1 species